GAUGGACGCUGGCGGCGUGCCUAAUACAUGCAAGUCGAGCGAACGGACGAGAAGCUUGCUUCUCUGAUGUUAGCGGCGGACGGGUGAGUGACACGUGGAUAACCUACCUAUAAGACUGGGAUAACUUCGGGAAACCGGAGCUAAUACCGGAUAAUAUUUUGAACCGCAUGGUUCAAAAGUGAAAGACGGUCUUGCUGUCACUUAUAGAUGGAUCCGCGCUGCAUUAGCUAGUUGGUAAGGUAACGGCUUACCAAGGCAACGAUGCAUAGCCGACCUGAGAGGGUGAUCGGCCACACUGGAACUGAGACACGGUCCAGACUCCUACGGGAGGCAGCAGUAGGGAAUCUUCCGCAAUGGGCGAAAGCCUGACGGAGCAACGCCGCGUGAGUGAUGAAGGUCUUCGGAUCGUAAAACUCUGUUAUUAGGGAAGAACAUAUGUGUAAGUAACUGUGCACAUCUUGACGGUACCUAAUCAGAAAGCCACGGCUAACUACGUG
rnacentral:rRNA from 1 species